UGCGCGUUACGUACAGGUGUGAAUGUACAUGUACAUGGUGCUGUGUACACGCGUCAACUUGUGAACGAGAAAGUACAUGUACCCACGUGGUUUCUGCCUGAAUAUUUUUGAAAUUUAGGCUAAAGAUGUCACCAGACAGAAAUAUCGUCUACACAGAACGUUUCUUUAGUUUUCAGGAGCGUUGAAAGUGUCCAGGAGUGAAAUGACAUGUCCAGGACGGGUGGUUUUUCAUCAUGCUAUUGCGGUUGGAGCGUUGUCGGGUUACUGUUGUUGAUUUCGGCACGUGUUUGUUGCGGUCAGCAAGUGGCAGAUAUUCAGGAUUCCAAGCAAGAGACCAUCUAUGCUCGCUCUGGUGACAUCGUGACUCUUCCCUGCAAUCAGUCAGUCCCGUCCCCCUCUCCAUCCUUAUCCUUCGUUCCCUUCUUCCUCCAGUGGCGUCGUUUGGAUCUCCCUUUUCCCUUUUACAUCAGUUUUGCUGACUUCCCGCCCUAUGUGGACUCCCAGUAUGCUGGCAGGGUGUCUGUUGAGGAGGACUUGUCCUUGCGCAUUGACGGGGUGGUAGCGGAGGAUGACGGCUUGUAUGAAUGCCAGGUCAUCGUCUUGACUGGCAGCUAUGAUAACAUUGGAAAUGGCACCUUCGUCCACCUCAUUAUAAUUGGUCCACCCAGAUUUCUUUCAACUCCACCUGCAUUGGUCAUUUUCCACGAGGGUAAACAUGAAACCCUUCAAUGUGUUGCCAAGGGCACGCCCACUCCCACUGUCACCUGGCAGAAAGAUGGCGGCCCACUGACCAGUAACCAUAUCAGGACAACGGUCAAUUCCAUUGUGUUUGAAGGGGUGAGGCAGGAUGACAGUGGAACGUAUGUAUGUAAAGCGGAAAGUGAGGAGGGGGCGGUGCAGCACACUGUCCGCCUACUAGUUCAUGGUGCCCCAUUUAUUUUCAUCCCACCGCACAAUUUAACAGUCAUCAGUGGAGAACUGGCCAUCUUUGAGUGCGAAUCUGAAGCCUCGCCAGACAACGCCACCCAGCGCUGGUACCGUGGCAGUGACCUGAUUCAGCAAUCCAGCCAGUAUGAGUUCCUACCAGAGGAUGGGUUGAUGAUCAGGGAAGUGCAGCCCCAGGAUGAGGGCUGGUACUCCUGUUCACCCACCAAUGGUCUAGGGGUGGAUCCCUCAGCAAGAGCUUACCUGGAUGUCCAGUAUCCUGCUGUUGUUGCAUCCAUGCCACCUGAUGCCUACAUAUCCAGGGGUUUAGAUGUGACCCUGUCCUGCCCAGUUGAUGCUGACCCACCGUUAUUGAAUGUGGUUUGGAGAAAGGAUGGGUCAGAGGUCAUAGUGCAGCAAUCACUCAGAUACAGAAUCUCAGAUGAAGGUGGCCUCACCAUCUUCAGGACUGAUUUAGGAGACAGUGGGUCUUACACCUGCACCCCUUACAACAAGAUUGGAACAGCCGGGGAAUCAACAGUCACUCUACUUACUGUCAGAGAUCCUCCACAGUUUGUCACCAGACCCAAGUCCCUCUACCAACGCUUGCUAGGUGAAGACAUCACCAUACCAUGCUCGGCAACCGGUGAUCCCGCCCCUACGAUGUCAUGGCAUAAGGUUGAUGGUAAACUACCCCCAUUACGGUCCAGUGUCUCUCAGGAUUCUUUGAUGAUUCGUGGAUUAACCAAAGAGGAUCAUGGGAUAUAUCAUUGCCAGGCAACCAAUCAGAUUGCAGCAGUUGUUACCACUACACAACUGAUUGUUGAACUAACAUCCCCACAUGAACCUUAUAAUGUCACCGUGGCAACCACCAUUAGCUCAGCCCGUGUUGCCUGGCAACCAGCCUACAAUGGAGGCUUCACACAGACCUACACUGUGUGGUACCUAGAGGCAGGAGUAGCCAAUGAGGAGUGGACUACAUUUGACCAAAUACCAGAGGACAUCAACUUCCAUAUUGUGUACAAUCUUAAGCCAAGUACUGAGUACCUGUUUGCAGUGGUUGCCAGUAACCAACUAGGACAAAGUCUGUUUAGUGAAAUGGUCUCAGCAACAACUAAAGAUGCAGGGGAGUUGGUGUCACCAACUGAUGAAACAGGGAAAACACUCAUCCCUAUUUACAUUGGCCUCACCCCUUCCCCACCUCAGAACCUGAGCAUCCUACCGACUCAAGAGGGCCUUCUCCUCUCCUGGUACCCGCCUACCCUCUGGGGUCAGUUUGUCAAUCGUUACUCCAUUGAGUACCGGCUACAUGGCCCCUGGGUGGUGAUGUAUGACCGUGUGGACGGCAGCCAAUUGGACCAGCUCCUGGAGAGAUUGCAGCCCAACACUACCUACCAGUUUCGCAUGUUUGCAUUCACGCCUGUCUUGUACAGCUCGCCUAGCGAGAUGGUUACUGGUUUCACUGGAGAUAUCCCAGCUUAUAUGCCUCCAAAACCAACAACAGAGGGCACCCCUCAGUACGGGGAACCAGGCAUUUUGCCCGGUGUCAUAGCAGGCAUAUGCUUCCUUUUUGUGUCAUUGUUGCUAAGCGUUCUGGCUGUGUGUAUCUACAACAGAAGGAAGAAGAAAAAGAGACAAGCAUUCUUCAGUAUUGCAGCCCAGACCCCACAACCACUAAUCCACAGACCCCAACCAGCACAAUCAGCAGAGACACCCACGCCAGCCACCGUUAAACCUGUAGGUCUGGUCUCCAAGCUCAUUCUAAAGAUCUCCCCUAAACACAAGGCAGACCCUGCCUCUGCGCCCCACCCAAACCGGCACGCCCACCUGACCUCUAAUGGCAAGCUGCCCACCAGUCGUUCAGAGCCGAGCCUCAGCGAGCGGUUGCUGGUUCGAUCAGCUCGCCAGCGUCGUUCACCUGGGAGGUACAGAGAGUCGGGGGUAGAGCUUCCUGGUGGGAGGGCAGGGAGCAGAGGCGAGGCAGCCUCCAGACAGCUGGCAUCCGAGCAAGCGUUGGAGCUUGAUGAGUUUGGGCCAUCGUCACCUGGUGGUGUGUAUUCAGUACAAGACGGCAGGAUUCGAGCCCAUGGGCUGUAUGGUUACGGCAGUUCCUACCCCUGCCACUCUGGCGGUGAAUCAUCAGAAACCAAUAAAGAUGAGGAUGAUAGUGACACAUCCCCUGAUACACACAGUAAUGUCUCCCCAGGUGUCAGACCUUUGGAUUAUGACGACUCGUCACGACCUGUGCGGGGAGACUACGUUUAUUAUCAUGGUAACAUGUUCAUCACUAGCAACUCAGAUGACAAUGAGGAUUAUGGGUGGGCCGAUGUGCCUCAGGGUGGUUACCAUAGUGGUGAUACUGACGAGGGUGGUGUGGUGAACCCAGCAAUGGUAACAGAUGACAGUGGGGCACCGCCCCCUAGACGGACUCCCCCAACUCAAAACCAGUACGUGGACAUGCCAACAAAAAACCACUGGCGUUGGGACCGAGAGUGGGCUGAUGACACACUGAGUCACUCACACCCUGACGGACACCGUGACACACCACCGCAUUCUCAGGAUUCUGUAAAUAGGCAAAGGACUCUGCCGAGACACAGUACACGGAAAAAUAUCCAACGUUUGUCUCGGGAUGAUUUUAGGAGUGGCCCCCCGCCAGAGUACCACAGCUCACCUCCUUGGUCAGAUAGCAUCAGCACUAUACAAGGAAACUCCAUGAGUACUAGGCAUCCGGACUAUGCCGAUUUAGACUAUGGAAAGCCUCCUUGGACAAAAGUAAAUCAAGGGAGAGAUGAGUCUGAGUAUGGAGGGCCACAUGGUCCAAGACAAUCUGCUGAGAGACGAACCAGGAAAUCCUCAUGUCCAGACUAUGACAAGCUCAGAAACAGUCCUCGGAGGAGAAGCCCUCAGAGGUCACAAAGUGCUGACAUCUAUGGAGAGCCAAGAAUGUCAAGAAAACAUGAAAAGCGGCCCAGCCUUCGUUUUCAGGGCACUCAUAAGAUUUAUGGCACGCCUCUUGCUGCAAAAAGAUCCACAAGUCCGCACCGGCAUGAAAGUAACUAUGCUGAGAGAACCAGAGUACCAAGGGCUGCAGAGGACUUGUAUGAUCAUAAUACCGACACAAGAGGUCAAAGGUCAGGGAAGAGUCGCAGAUCUCCCUCCAAAGCAGACAGUAGCCCUGACUCAGAACAGUAUCGGAAACCUGUGCAGCAGGUUAUGAAACGUAGCCCUGUCAGGACAAUCCAGGGGACACAAGGGAGGACAGACCCGGUCAUAGACCCUAGGGAGGGGCACAGUGGUGCUGCAUCAGUAGAGAGUUGUGCAGACGAAGACACAUUGCAAGGCACAUUGCAGGAAGCAGAGUCAACAGUCAUGGAUAACCAUGGUGAUGAACGGUAUCCUGUUGAUGGCAUGGAAUCACCAGUAGAGGGCGCCAAGCCAGUGGAGAGUGCUGUCCCAUCACCAGCUAUGCAGUCACUGGUGGGCGGAGCCAAACCCAAGCUGUACGAAAGGGUGUCGCCCCAAGGAGGCAGUAAGCUAAAGGUUUAUGAUGACAUUCCAAAAAUAAACUCUCCUUUCCAGCAGAAACGUAGCAGUCUGUCGCCAAGGUUUGACAGUGUGGGCCUCCCGACUCACAGCAGCAGAGGACGGAAUUACGACACUCUCCCGCUUCCUCCUACUGAGGGCAGUGUUAGGACCUCUGUAUCCCCAACUGCGAUGAGUGCAAACAGUCGCGCAAGCAUGUCAUCCAUGGACAGUCGUCCCGGCUCUACAAAGCCUAUCCCCCUCCCCCAGUCGUACAUCUCCGCCCACCAACGCAGCCUCCUGUCUCCUAACAGCCAGUAUUCAGCUAGCAGUGGCUACGCCAGUCGCAACACCUCACAGAGCAUGUCCUCUAGAGGGCGCACCAGUAGCGUACCAAGCAUUCACGAUCCCACCUCGAGCGCCACCACAACAGACGGCGUGGACAGCCCAUUCUCAGAUUCUGCCGGGCCGUUUUCCAACGUCAGCUCCAAGGAGUCUGAAGAACCGUACUUUGAAUUUGACCCUAUGCUGCAUGAAAGCGACCUCCGAGAUGCCUUGAAGAAGUACUACCAACCGGUAGACAUCCCCACUCCAAGUACAGAGGAAGUGUACAAAGAGGGAAAUGGGAAGGUAGCAGAUAUGGAGAAACGCUGUGAAGAAUUAAAGAAAGAAUUCCAGGAAUACCAACGGCAGCAGGCUAGGGCUAAACACAAAUCUAGAAUCACCUCUAGUGUAUGAAUGAAAGGAAUAGAUUUACCUGAGUGGUUGGUAUCCCAUUAAGAGGGUAAUCCAUGAGGUUGGGGCACAAUUUGGGAGGUUGUCCUUGUAACUGUUACCACCUGUCAUGACCUGUAGAGUAGGUCAUUUACUCUGUAAAAAUAUUACACACCUCUGUAUUCAGCCUUGCAAGAUGUAUCAUUUGGAAUCUACAUGCAGGUAAAUAGCUGUUCCUUUCUAUGGAACCCACGUAACAAUGAGCACCGUCACAAAUUGUGCCCCAACCUCAUGGAAUGACCUUGUGACCUUGAGCAAAACUCAUGUUAUGAUCUCCUAUUGGUUGAACCUGAUGUGCAGUAAUGCCUGUCCAUGUACACACAGCAAUGUGUGUCAUGCCCCUGCUCUGUAUGGGAUUUGGUUGUCUUGACUUACUUCAUCAUGGUUCAGAGUGAACAUAGCAAAGAGCAUGUCCAUCUCCAGGAUUGAACUUGCUAAAUUGCUGAGGGUAUAAUAGAACUCUACAAGUCCUUCCAUGCAUACAAGAACAUGUAUGUCUGCAUGUGAACUGCGAAACAGCGCCACCUACAGUUGGCAAAGUUUUUUUUUGUUGUUAGGUGAACCUGUGGCUACACAACUCUGUCCUACCAUAAAAUUGCCCCCAGCAGUUUCCUAAUGACAGACAUCAAAGAGGUCAAAGGUUUAGCUGAUUGUAUCUCAAGAUUCUCGUCGCUUAACUGCGAUUUAAUUUCUUUCACAUGAUGCCUUUCAAGCUAAUAAAAUACAACUGUACGUAGGUUGAGUUGUGAGAAAAAACAAGCAUUACGUUGAAGAGUGGCGCAGUAUAUUAAUUGAGGCAUUUUUAUUUGACAGUUUUAUUCUGAUAUUUAGUGAAAAGUAGAAUUGCUUGCAUUAUUUCUUGCAGUAUUAUGUUUUAUGCUGUCGUGCUAAUUUUCAAUAUUUUCAAAUUUUACUUUCAUAAUGCAUUCAUUAUUUUGCAGUUGAAGUUUUUCUGCAUUUUGUACACUAUUUUAUACAAACUUUUUUUAACAGGCUUGGUUCAUUUAUUUUUAAUGCAGCAUUCAUUUUGUGUAGAAUUGCAAGCAGGAACGAGCAAUAGCUGCUGGAUUGUUACACAGUGCUGGAGAAGGUUUAUAGAAACUAGAAAACUGAAGGAAAAUUGAUGCUAAGAAUAGCUCUGUGUACCGAUGACAUACAUGUAUCACUGUGUUGACUGCAGUGUAUUGGUGGGAUAGAAUGUGGGGUCAUUGGUGUAUAUAUGCUCUACUGUCAUGUGAGUAUGAUUAUGUCCGUUUCCUAAAGGCAGUUUUGUGAAAUCAUCAAUUGAAAUCUUCCAGAGAAUUAUCUUUCGCUACUGGAAGUGGUAAGAAUGUGCCUUUGACUUUCUUGCAAUUUAAUUUAACUUGUGCGUUAUUUCUUUUCCUUCCACAACAACCCCGUUUCUAUCCCAUCAUGCAUUGCAGUAAACACUGGUAUUCAUCAGUACUUGGUAGAUGGAAAAGGAGGGCACGUAGGACAACGUGCAUCAACGUGCAUAUUAUGCUCAGGAUGCCGAAAAGAUGCACUGCACACGUUGUCUUUCUGAGCUUAAUAUGCAUAUAUGAUACAAGUCGUUCUGUGUGGCUUCCUUUUCUGUCUACCUCAGUACAGAGGGUUGUUACUGUCUGAUCUAUCUAACAGGUGAUAUUGAUAAUAGAGGUUCAGACAGUGCUGCCAUGCGAGUGUUUGCCUCGUGUAUGAUGGAUUAUCUAGAUACUGUUGGUGUGUUGCUUUUCAGCAUGGUGUCUGAUAUCGUAUUUGAAAUAUGUAAAUUAUGGACAUAUACAUAUAUGAGAAAUCAUGAAAUAAAAACGACAAAUUUUGUAAUUAUCUUUGGUAACCUAUUUAUGAAAAUAGGACAAAUUAUGUAAUUGGAGUUGGACCAGAAAGGCAGUAUUCCAGUACUUAAUUUAAAAAACUUAAAUUUAGAGUUGUGUUUAGUCAGGUGGUAGAUUUAUUCAAGUUUGGUUUGGUCUUGCCUUUAAAGAAUAUUGAAAAGUUGUCACAGCUUAAUACUGUAUGUGGGAGGAGAGUUGGAUAUUUUCAUGGUUUGAAUGUUUAGUCCCCAGACCCCCCUGUAGUUCGUUUUCCUGAUAACCAAGCCUCUUCCCAAACUGAUUGUUGAAGAUUCACAUCUUGUCUGCAACUUCAUGUGAUACUUGUAGGGCUGCCAACUUCCAUGCAUUUUAAGUUUGUAUCUUGCUCUUAUGCCCGUAUGUAAGUUUCCUGGAAAAAUCCAACCGUGUAGGAAAACUGACAAAGUGCUUUCACAUUAUAAUUAUUUUGACAGCACCUUGUCAGUUUGCCUGCAGGUUAUUUUGUUUACAUAUUUUAUUUGAAACGCUGCAUCUUCCUUUUGGGAUCCCUGAUCAAAAGUUGCUAGGUUUUGCUUACAACUGUUGUUCAUGUCUUUGGGGCACGAUCCCUGGCAAUAUGGUGUUUCAGUUUUAUGAUGUCUGACCAGUGAUGCCCCCCCCAACAGAGAUGGGAAGAACCACCAACCAACAUGAGGCUGAGUAGCUUAGUCAGUGAAGCUCCAGUGUUGUGUUCCUGAGGUCGUAGGUUCAAUCUCUUCCCCCCCGCCCAUUGGACCUGCUUUGUUGUAGAAAAAGCAAGGAUAUACCAAAGCUUGAAUGAUUGAACCCCUAAACAAAUCCAGAUUUUUAGGGUCCACACUCCAGAAAUCUGUGUGCAAAUGAAGGGCUGUGUGUACUUGGAUUCAUACACAUAGGAACAAGCAUAAUAUGCACAUGGCCCAAUGCUGAACCCUAACCCUCCUCAAUCCUUCACCUGUUGGAGGACUGAGGAGUGUUUGGGUUAAACAUGGUUUUUGAGCCUGAGAGAGAAUCAGUGGGCCAUCCAUUGUCUUCAUCAGUGUAAUUAAAGUAUAUUCCUUUUUCUCUUGACCCCGUCCCCUCUGAGAGCGCAAACUCAUCCUGAUCAUUUCUGAGCUGGGUAUCCGCUUUAAGCAGAGGCACCAACUGUUUGUUUUUUGGUGGCAAGGCGCAUGCAAGACAUCUUACCGUCGUUCAGGCUAUCAAAGGAGCCUUGCUAGGAAAAUCCAACCCUCUUGGUUCAGCUCAGGGUGUGUUGUCAUUUUUAAUUCUGUUGAAGUGUAUGCGGCCUCUGUAACCAUUUGCAUUAAUGCUUGUGAAAAUGAUCAGAAAUUUGAUCCCUUUGCCAUGAGCUUUGGAGGGAGAAAGUUGUUGUGAAAAUAAGAAAUACUAGCUCCAAGUGUGCCGAGCAUGUUUUUUUUGGCAGGUUUGACAUACCCUGUUAGCUCCAAGCAUGUCGUGUUGUGUGUUUAAUAACACUGAUUUCUUGAUAAUGUGCCUUAUCAUGUCAUUUA
rnacentral:misc_RNA from 1 species